GAAAUUUCCAUAAAUAACGUUUCGGCCAAUGCUACGGUGGUUCCGAUUCCGGAACCGCCUGUAGAUCAAAAUUUUUCAAUGACUCUUUCAGGGGUAUGCCAGGGCAAAAUUGAUGAGAUUACCGCUGUUCCGAUACCGGAUCCACCGGUCACGGAGCAAAAUUCAAUUGACAAUCCUUUGGUUGAUUCCGAAAGACCGGUGGAUCUGGUUGAGGAAUCAACGGUAAUCGAUUCUGUUGUAUUUUUGGAACCUACUGCGGCGGCUUCCACUUUGGAACCGCGCGCAGAACGUUAUGUCCGUAAAUUUGAUUUGUCCAUUUCAGACUCUUCGGAGGGAGUUCCGGAACCUCGAAAUUUAAAAACUUCGCAAAAUUCUAAAAAAUCCGCUCGAUUUUCAGAUUUGGCCCAAGUUAAAGAGUUCACAGUGUCGGAAUCUUCAAUUCCGACCCUGUACUCGGUUCCGGUGAAAGGUUGCCCGGAAACGGUGCCGGAACUGCCUCCACAAAAUUCAAAUGAAGUAAAAUAUUUUUGGUGUUACACCUGUCAAAAUUCUCGUACUAAUUCUUUGCCCUGGUUGCUGCGAUUGCGGUAUUCCAAAUUAUCGAUGUAUUUGCGCCAUUUGUUUUGUAGUUCGAUGUUUUGCGCUGUUAUUUGUUUGGUAGUUUUUGUUUGAAUUGUUUAAUGCUUUUUUCUCGUUUCAUGAGCUGUUUCUAGUUUUGAGCGUUUCUUGGUUACCGAUGAUGAGACGAUUGGAUUGGAGAUUUCAGAGUAGACUAAAUAUUAUUGAUGAUGAUGACGAUGAUGGCGAUGAUGAUGACUAUAUGACGAGCAAGACGAUGAUGCAGAUGAUGGAUGGGCGAAGAUUAGAUUCUAUGAGAUGAAUUUUGGAUGGAUUAGCAAGAUGCCGAAUUACUGGACCGAACGACGAUACCGACGGAGAGGCCUUUUUGGAGAUCUUGAAGACUGAAGAUUUUGUUUUAUAAUGAAAUGUAUUAUAUUUUUGUAAUGUAUUUUUGCAUUGUUUGUAAUAAAUUUUUUGAAAACAAAAUUGUGUUGCUUU